rnacentral:rRNA from 1 species
GAUGAACGCUGGCGGCGUGCCUAAUACAUGCAAGUCGAGCGAACAGACGAGGAGCUUGCUCCUCUGACGUUAGCGGCGGACGGGUGAGUAACACGUGGAUAACCUACCUAUAAGACUGGGAUAACUUCGGGAAACCGGAGCUAAUACCGGAUAAUAUAUUGAACCGCAUGGUUCAAUAGUGAAAUACGGUUUUGCUGUCACUUAUAGAUGGAUCCGCGCCGCAUUAGCUAGUUGGUAAGGUAACGGCUUACCAAGGCAACGAUGCGUAGCCGACCUGAGAGGGUGAUCGGCCACACUGGAACUGAGACACGGUCCAGACUCCUACGGGAGGCAGCAGUAGGGAAUCUUCCGCAAUGGGCGAAAGCCUGACGGAGCAACGCCGCGUGAAUGAUGAAGGUCUUCGGAUCGUAAAACUCUGUUAUUAGGGAAGAACAAAUGUGUAAGUAACUAUGCACGUCUUGACGGUACCUAAUCAGAAAGCCACGGCUAACUACGUG